rfam:Myotis lucifugus cont2.10307, whole genome shotgun sequence.
GCCGUUUUGGCUCAGUGGAUAGAGCAUUGGCCUGAGGACCAAAGGGUCCUGGGUUCGAUUCCAGUCAAGGGCA